rnacentral:snRNA from 1 species
AUCCCAGUGCAAGGGCAAUAUCCGUGUCGGUGAAGAGAUUCUCUGAGGCCGGAUUUUUGCUAGUUGAAAACUAUUACUUUUGACUGCUCCUUUUCUUAAAAGUCCUGUUUCCGCAGGUUGGAAAGGGAAUCUUUGGAACACAAUGUCUAUGAUGGUGU